UACUACUGAUUAAUCAAAACUCGGAAUGAAAGCGGUCAUGUUGAGCUGAAACGGGUUAUCUGAUCCUCCUACAUGCAUAUAAUGGUAGUAGUCAGAAUGUGUAUGAAGCUAGGUGAAGUCGGCUGAAAUGAACCUAAGUUGCUUAUAUAGAAUAUGGUUCAUGAUAGGCCGGGAUGCUACAAA
rnacentral:ncRNA from 1 species